rnacentral:rRNA from 1 species
GACGAACGCUGGCGGCGUGCCUAAUACAUGUAAGUAGAACGCUGAAGAGAGGAGCUUGCUCUUCUUGGAUGAGUUGCGAACGGGUGAGUAACGCGUAGGUAACCUGCCUUGUAGCGGGGGAUAACUAUUGGAAACGAUAGCUAAUACCGCAUAACAAUGGAUGACACAUGUCAUUUAUUUGAAAGGGGCAAUUGCUCCACUACAAGAUGGACCUGCGUUGUAUUAGCUAGUAGGUGAGGUAAUGGCUCACCUAGGCGACGAUACAUAGCCGACCUGAGAGGGUGAUCGGCCACACUGGGACUGAGACACGGCCCAGACUCCUACGGGAGGCAGCAGUAGGGAAUCUUCGGCAAUGGGGGCAACCCUGACCGAGCAACGCCGCGUGAGUGAAGAAGGGUUUCGGAUCGUAAAGCUCUGUUGUAAGUCAAGAACGGGUGUGAGAGUGGAAAGUUCACACUGUGACGGUAGCUUACCAGAAAGGGACGGCUAACUACGUG